CAGCUCUGAUGCUAAACCAAAGAAAAAGUCAAAAUACUUUAGUUCACUCAAAAAACUCCCAACUCCCAAGAGACAACAAACUGCAAAAUUCAAGAAAACAAGUGUAGCAGAUGAUCAUCAAGAUAAAAAUGCUCAGGUAAAAUCACUGUGGAAGAAGAGAAACACAGAGGUAGUGGUUGCAGUGAUUCCAUUACAGACCAAGGGGCGCAGCCUCCUCAUCCACCACUCUGAGUUACGCACACUACGACCACAUCAGUGGUUGACAGGAGAGGUUAUUGAGGGCCUGUUUCAUGUUGCUGCCCAUGCAGUGAAUGUAGUGGACAGCAUCUACCUGUUGGAUCACUACACAGCAGGUGUUGUCUUGUUUGGGG